rnacentral:rRNA from 1 species
GAUGAACGCUAGCGGCAGGCCUAAUACAUGCAAGUCGAACGGUGUAGCAAUACACAGUGGCGCACGGGUGCGUAACACGUAUGCAACCUACCUUACAUUGGGGGAUAGCCUUUCGAAAGGGAGAUUAAUACCGCAUAAGACAGUAACUAGGCAUCUAGUAGCUGUUAAAGAUUUAUCGAUGUAAGCUGGGCAUGCGUCCAAUUAGUUAGUUGGCGAGGUAAUGGCUCACCAAGCCGCUGAUUGGUAGGGGAACUGAGAGGUCAAUCCCCCACACUGUCACUGAGAUACGGGCCAGACUCCUACGCGAGGCAGAAGUAGGGAAUAUUGGGCAAUGGGCGCAAGCCUGACCCAGCCAUGCCGCGUGCAGGAAGAAGGCGUUAUGCGUUGUAAACUGCUUUUAUACAGGAAGAAACGACCCUUGCGAGGGGCAUUGACGGUACUGUAUGAAUAAGCACCGGCUAACUCCGUGCCAGCCGCCGCCGCUGUAA